UACAGAGGUCCCGAGCGUUGUUCGGAUUCAUUGGGCGUAAAGGGUGCGUAGGCGGCGGGGCAAGUCUGAUGUGAAAAUCCCGGGGCUCAACCCCGGAACUGCAUUGGAUACUGCCUUGCUAGAGUACUGGAGAGGGAACUGGAAUUUACGGUGUAGCAGUGAAAUGCGUAGAGAUCGUAAGGAAGGCCAGUGGCGAAGGCGAGUUCCUGGACAGUAACUGACGCUGAGGCACGAAGGCCAGGGGAGCAAACGGG
rnacentral:rRNA from 1 species